AAAUCUGAUGUCCAUGGAUAGUUCAAUUUUGGUUUGGUGCCCAAUUCGACACUUAGCAUUAUUAUGAACUUUAGUGCAAUAUUUAGUUCUGUUUUGACUUUUAAGCAAUAUUAUGUCAAUAUUUGGUAGCAGAGAGUAACAUAGUAACAUUUUAGUAUGAGUUUGAGUCAUGUAUUGAUUUAUUUUUCCUUGACCAUUAGUUUAUGCUUAGUGGUAACCUUGCGAAUAAACGUGGAUUGUUAGACUAUUGUAAAUUUAGUUGUUAAUAUUUUGAAGUUUAGAAAAAAAAUUUUAUGGAUAAAAUUUUUUUUCCCGAGUAGAAGGGGAUUGUAACGGUCACGUUACAAAAUUAGCUCUUUAAUUAUUUUUAUAAUUAUUUUCCUUCGCUCUCCCAUUUAAAUUCUCUAAUUCCUCGUAUAGGACCACUGACGUGACGUCAUACCUCGGUGAUGGAACAUACUCCACCUAUCGAGAAUUAUUUCGCGUUCGGUGAGUUUGACGUCGUACUCUUGGAAGGAGAGACGAAUGUUCAUCACUUGACAUGUGGCUGUAGGUGAAGUUGGUUGCUACCAUAGAAUAUUAGAAUGGCGGUUGGUUUUUUAUUUUAUAACAUCAGUGAAAAGAAAAAAAUUACCACAAAUGGUUUUCUACAGUAGGGUGGCAUGUGGGUAGAACAACCCCUCUUGGAAUCGGAAUAGAAAUCACCGCCAUUUUGGAGUAACCACAUGGUGAACUCAUAGCCCUUUGACACCUAGGGAAACCACUACAGCCACAGUCAAGUCAUCAUGGGAAUACGUCUUUUUGGGAACAAGCUAUGGGAGCGUUCCAGCUCAAUUUUCGUCUUGGCACCUGGGCCUACAUGAGUCAUGGGGUCGCACCAUCCUGGUGCAUCAUUUUCUAGGAUGCAACCGCAACCUCGUUUGGGAACAUUUAGUGAGGUGUUUUAGUAACUAUUGGUUUUUUUUAUAUUUCAGACUAUCUGUUAAAUACACUAUGUUUUUUUUCCAGAUUUAGGUUACCUCUGGUUUUUUUUAAUAUGACAUAUUUGUAUAUUAGAUUAUUUGGUUCCCAAACUUUGUAUCUACGGUAACUUCUUGUGCACAGGAAUAAGCCUAGAGAAAAUUAGGUUUUUAAUACUUUACUAUUGCUUUGAUAUUGGUUUAUGUAAUUCGGGUAAAUUUAUUUUUUAAUAUUACUAGCUUGUUUCCCAAAUAAUUUACUGUUAUUCGCUUUAUUCCAUUUGUUCGGUUAAUUUAGGUCAUCGUCGGUAUUUAUCUCAACUUCAUUUCUACUUUAGUCAAUUGUAUAUUUAACUUUAUUUAUUCAUUAUUGUAUUUUCCCUUAGUGAGGCUUGGGCCUAUUUAUUUGUAGUAUUUUCAUCUUUGUCAGUUUCCUUUAGUUGUACGUAGCAGGCGUACUAUAACCAUUUGGUAGAAGACUUAUGUAAUUUUGUACACUAUAUGUAAGUAAGAGGUACUAAUACCUGUAAUUUUGUAACAGAUAACAUUAUUGUUGUUAUCUUAGAGAUGACUUUUUGUAUAACUUAUGUCAUUUUAGAGUCACAUGAUAUACACUUUGUGUAACUCAGAGAUUGUCAAAAAUCUAGUAGUUAUUUUUAAUAAAUAUGUAUUUAUUUUGUA
rnacentral:lncRNA from 1 species